rnacentral:rRNA from 1 species
CCUACGGGUGGCAGCAGUGAGGAAUAUUGGUCAAUGGCCGGAAGGCUGAACCAGCCAAGCCGCGUGCAGGACGAAGGUGCCAAGAAUUGUAAACUUCUUUUGUCAAGGGACAAACUCAGGCUCGCGAGCCUGACCGAGAGUACUUUACGAAAAAGCAUCGGCUAACUCCGUGCCAGCAGCCGCGGUAAUACGGAGGAUUCGAGCGUUAUCCGGAUUUAUUGGGUUUAAAGGGUGAGUAGGCGGUCGGUUAAGUUAGAGGUGAAAUCCCGAGGCUCAACGGCGGCAUGGCCUGUGAAAGUGUUGGGCUAGAGAGGAGGUGAGGUAGGCGGAAUGUAUGGGGUAGCGGUGAAAUGCUGAGAGAUCAUACAGAACACCGAUUGCGAAGGCAGAGUACAAAGCUACUGCGGAGGUGGAGGGACGAAAGCGUGGGGAGCAAACAGGAUUAGAUACACUUGUAGUC